GGAGGGUUAAGUUAUAAAGACUACAGUACUUCAAAUACUGAAGAGGGAGGGUUCUCACUUUCCG
rnacentral:tRNA from 1 species